AUUGAACGCUGGCGGCAGGCCUAACACAUGCAAGUCGAACGAGUGGCGGACGGGUGAGUAAUGUCUGGGAAACUGCCUGAUGGAGGGGGAUAACUACUGGAAACGGUAGCUAAUACCGCAUACCAUCAGAUGUGCCCAGAUGGGAUUAGCUAGUAGGUGAGGUAACGGCGUACCUAGGCGACGAUCCCUAGCUGGUCUGAGAGGAUGACCAGCCACCCUGUAACUGAGACACGGUCCAGACUCCUACGGGAGGCAGCAGUGGGGAAUAUUGCACAAUGGGCGCAAGCCUGAUGCAGCCAUGCCGCGUGUGUGAAGAAGGCCUUCGGGUUGUAAAGCACUUUCAGCGGGGAGGCGUUACCCGCAGCAUCCACACCGGCUAACUCCGUGCCAGCAGCCGCGGUACUAC
rnacentral:rRNA from 1 species